rnacentral:tRNA from 1 species
GCCUAGCUGGCUCAGUUGGUUAAGCAUCUGACUUUGGCUCAGGUCAUGAUCUCAGGGUCCUGGGAUCGAGCCCCAUGUCAGGCU